rnacentral:rRNA from 1 species
UCGGGACUCCAGGGAGACUGCCGGUGAUAAACCGGAGGAAGGUGGGGACGACGUCAAGUCAUCAUGGCCCUUACGAGUAGGGCUACACACGUGCUACAAUGGCGCAUACAGAGGGCGGCCAACUUGCGAAAGUGAGCGAAUCCCAAAAAGUGCGUCGUAGUCCGGAUUGGAGUCUGCAACUCGACUCCAUGAAGUCGGAAUCGCUAGUAAUCGUGGAUCAGAAUGCCACGGUGAAUACGUUCCCGGGCCUUGUACACACCGCCCGUCACACCAUGGGAGUGGGCUGCAAAAGAAGUAGGUAGUUUAACCUUCGGGGGGACGCUUACCACUUUGUGGUUCAUGACUGGGGUGAAGUCGUAACAAGGUAGCGCUAGGGGAACCUGGCGCUGGAUCACCUCCUUA